CCUACGGGUGGCAGCAGUGAGGAAUAUUGGUCAAUGGACGAGAGUCUGAACCAGCCAAGUAGCGUGAAUGAUGACUGCCCUCUGGGUUGUAAACUUCUUUUAUAUGGGAAUAAAAUGUUCCACGUGUGGGAUUUUGUAUGUACCGUAUGAAUAAGGAUCGGCUAACUCCGUGCCAGCAGCCGCGGUAAUACGGAGGAUCCGAGCGUUAUCCGGAUUUAUUGGGUUUAAAGGGAGCGUAGGUGGAUUGUUAAGUCAGUUGUGAAAGUUUGCGGCUCAACCGUAAAAUUGCAGUUGAAACUGGCAGUCUUGAGUACAGUAGAGGUGGGCGGAAGUCGUGGUGUAGCGGUGAAAUGCUUAGAUAUCACGAAGAACUCCGAUUGCGAAGGCAGUUCACUGGACUGCAACUGACACUGAGGCUCGAAAGUGUGGGUAUCAAACAGGAUUAGAUACCCCUGUAGUC
rnacentral:rRNA from 1 species